AUUGAACGCUGGCGGCAUGCUUUACACAUGCAAGUCGAACGGUAACAGGCCGCAAGGCGCUGACGAGUGGCGAACGGGUGAGUAAUGCAUCGGAACGUGCCCAGUCGUGGGGGAUAACGCAGCGAAAGCUGUGCUAAUACCGCAUACGAUCUAUGGAUGAAAGCGGGGGACCGUAAGGCCUUGCGCGAUUGGAGCGGCCGAUGUCAGAUUAGGUAGUUGGUGGGGUAAAGGCUCACCAAGCCAACGAUCUGUAGCUGGUCUGAGAGGACGACUAGCCACACUGGGACUGAGACACGGCCCAGACUCCUACGGGAGGCAGCAGUGGGGAAUUUUGGACAAUGGGCGCAAGCCUGAUCCAGCAAUGCCGCGUGCAGGAAGAAGGCCUUCGGGUUGUAAACUGCUUUUGUACGGAACGAAAAGGUUUGGGUUAAUACCCUGGGCCGAUGACGGUACCGUAAGAAUAAGCACCGGCUAACUACGUGCCAGCCGCCGCGGUAA
rnacentral:rRNA from 1 species